rnacentral:rRNA from 1 species
GUAGGGAAUAUUGGACAAUGGGGGCAACCCUGAUCCAGCGACUCCGCGUGAGUGAUGAAGGCCUUCGGGUCGUAAAGCCCUGUUGCAGGGGAAGAACACAAUGACGGUACCCUGCUAGAAAGCAUCGGCUAACUUCGUGCCAGCAGCCGCGGUAAGACGAGGGAUCCUAGCGUUGUUCGGAAUUAUUGGGCGUAAAUCGGGUGCAGGUGGCUUGGUAAGUCAGAGGUGAAAGCCUGGGGCUUAACCCCAGAAGUGCAUUUGAUACUGCUGAGCUUGAUUGCUGGAGAGGCUAUUAGAAUUCCUGGUGUAGUGGUGAAAUACGUAGAUAUCAGGAGGAAUACCGGAGGCGAAGGCGGAUAGCUGGCCAGACACUGACACUCAGACCCGAAAGCGUGGGGAUCAAACAGGAUUAGAAACCCGGGUAGUCC